rnacentral:lncRNA from 1 species
CCUAAACAGUGUCCUGACUGCUUGACUGUUUUAUGUGUAAGCAAUUCGUCUGGGAGCCUUUCCGUUGUGAGAACGAAGGCUGAUUCAACGUGCAGGAGAGGGCUGGAUAACAGGAUCCUUCCCUACUAGCUGGGAUGGCCCUUGACACAGUUGAGGAUACACACUUGAGUUGCAGAAGGAAACUUUGGAUCAGAGUUACAAGCAAUCUCAUUUUUUAAAACGCCUGGGGCGUAGAGAUCUUCUUUCAUGGGCUUUUGAAAAGUUUAGGAAAGAGAGGUUAGCAAGACACACUUCUCAGCUGUUUUUGGAGUCCUAACCCUUGACACUAUUCCUACUGUUGCUGCUCUUCUAGCAUGUUGCAUGUAAGUAUAUAUGUACCAGGUCUAUCAAGGCUGGUUUGUCUUUGUGGGGGUCUA